GAAACAAAAAAAUAAAUAAAUAAAUUAGAUGAGUACUACGUAGAUCCUUUGUAAAUCGCGAUAACUUAUUUUGGCGGGAGACGAGUGGUUGUAGGUAGCGGGCAUAGUUUUAGAAAAGCCUAACGGACAUAACCUACGUUCCCAGAUGCAGGGGAAGCAGACGAUCUUACUUUGUGGUUAUCAGUCAGUGUUUCUUUGAAGAAAAUCUAAAACCAUUGAAUGGCUUGUGACGAAAAGAAACGAGGUUCGUUAGCUUUACCCACUAUUCAAGAAUCAGAAGAAGAUUUGGACAAUGUCAUUCUAGAAGACAUAAUAAGAGCAUCAAGGAAGAAAAAAGAAUGUCGGACGCCAAGCAAGAAAAUUUCGAGCGCUGAGAAAUCAAAGUCUUCUGAUUCGAGCGCCAGAAAAAGAUUGUCACGGCAAUGUGCUGAGCAUGCUCGUGUAAAGAUUACUACAUUGUUUAACCAGAAUGAUAGAUAUGAUCGAUCAAUUUAUGCUGUGUCUGAAGAUGGAUUAACAAGUGAAGAGAGUUCAGAGGCAUUCCAGCCAAUUGCUGAUGAAGAGAUUAUGCCUCGAGGAGAAUACGGUGGAGACAGUGAAGAUGAAGAAGCAGUUAAUAAAGGUGCAGAAUUGUUUGGAUUUGGAUGGAAGACUCCUAGAAAGAAAACCACACUGAGAACCCCUUUAAAAACUCCAACAUCUGCUUUGAAACAAAGAAUAAAUAAAACUCCAAAUAAAACACCUUUGAAAACACCAGACAAAGGAAGAAAAAUCGUCUCUGCUCAAACUCCACAGACAGUUCGGCGACAAUUACGAAACAAAAUUGUUAAGGUGACAUCUCAAGUGUUAGAAGGAAACAGCGAUGCAGAGAGCAACGGUUCGGAAAGUGAUUCUAGCUCAAAUGAUGAAGAGGAUAGAAACGAGCUUAAACUGAGAGCUGCCAAAAAUCAGUCGAUGGAUAUCACCGUUAAUACAGAAGAUUACUUUUUGGCACAAAGCUCUUCGGUGCAUACCUCCGACCGAACACUGAAUCGUCUUAAUAAUCCUAGACUGAGUCAAGAAGCAGUCGAUUCAUUGAUGGAAAAUUUUGACGAUUGUCAUUCAAAAGAGAAAAUUCUUCUAAUGAAGGAAUAUCAGCAACAAUUUUUACAGUGGAUUUUUCUUUUGAGGGAAGGGUUCAACAUUCUUGUUUACGGAUUGGGCUCAAAGCGGUAUUUGCUCGAUGAAUUUCGCACCCGGUUUCUUGACGGAAAAAAUGUGAUCGUCGUUAACGGUUAUUUCCCUGGUUUAACAAUCAAGGAGAUAUUUAAUUCAAUAACGGAUGGCAUUUUGGAGCAUUCUGGCACGUUCUUUAGCACCGUCGAGCAGUUGGAGUUCAUAGAACAAGAAUUUAACAGUACAAAAAUUGAGGCUUAUCUUAUUAUUCACAAUAUGGAUGGCCCUAGCUUGCAGUUCAGUCGAGAACAAGAAGUUCUAUGUCGAUUGGCUGCAGCUCCUGGUCUUCAUGUUGUCGCUUCCACCGACCAUAUCAACACUCCGUUAUUGUGGGAUCAGCGUAAACUAAGUCAGUCAAAGUUUGUUUAUUUUGACUGCACCACUUUCGCCCCUUACUCGGAAGAAAUCUCGUACGAAAACUCACUCCUAGUCCAACAGUCUACAACGCUCGGAUUAGCCUCCCUUGUGCAUGUAUUUGCGUCGUUGACGUUCAACGCCAAGGCCAUUUUCAUUCUCAUUGCGCAGAGGCAACUGGAAAACAACAAUGAAACUAAUUAUCAUGGAUUUCCGUUCCAUGAACUCUACAGCGAAUGUAGAGAUCGAAUGUUGGUCAAUUCCGAUUUGACGUUGCGUGCCCAAUUGACAGAAUUCAAAGAUCACAAGCUGUUGCGAAUACGACGAACCCCAGAUGGAACUGAAGUACUGCACAUUCCCCUAGAAAAAAAUCAGCUUGAAGAGUUUGUUCAAAAACAUCAUGAAUAGCCUCCGGUAGCAGGCAAUCGUCAGGGUCUACUAUGGUACGGUGCGACAGAGCUCCUCGAAAAACUACAGCUCAGUAAACGUAAUAGCAUUCUUAAUCUCAAGUAAAGCGAAUGUACUUUCUGUCCCAGCGAAUUUACUUCUAUCGGUCGGUGGCUUUUGGUAUUACAAAAAAAAAAUUAAAAAAAAUAAAACUGAAAAAGGCA